UGUUGUUGAAUCUUUUGCUGCAGUCUAUUCCCCUACCUGAGCACAGGGGUCAUUGCUUUCGGUCUCUGACAUAGAUUCUCAAUAUAUUUACACACACAUAAUCACAAGCCUUAAUCACACAUAUACCACAUUAUAUACAUGCAAUCACAUACAUGUGCACACCACAUCACACACAAAAUCACACAUGCAAUCAUUCACACACACCACAUCACAUUAUAGAAUGUCAUUGUAAAGCAUGAAAAUGAAAUCAGUGUUCUGCCCCCUAGUUUAGAGACCCAUCAAAUUGCUGGAACACUUCAAAAACUCCCUGACGAUUGUAGCCUUUCUCAGGUGCCAGCCUCAUCAUUUCAGUUCUCUGGAACCUCCCUCUAGAAACUUGUUUUUGCAAGCUGAGAGCUAUUUCCCUCUUGUUGGACAUAUUUGCACUUUCAUAGCACAAAUCACAACUGCAGUGCCUGCAUUGGCCCAAAAUUCAACUCUUAUUUCAGUUUUCUACCUCACUGCAAUACCUUCUGGAUAUCUUUACAAUGUCAACAUCCAAUUUCACAGUGAGUACCUUUUCAAUGGACUGUCUCUUAAUUGCUUCUAGAAUGUUUUCUAAGUGCCAAAGGAUCUUAUUUAUUUUGUGUGAAUUGCUUUUAGUCUCAGAGAGUGUGUCCUUUUUAUGUUCUUG
ensembl:lincRNA